rnacentral:rRNA from 1 species
GACGAAGGGGGCUAGCGUUGUUCGGAAUUACUGGGCGUAAAGCGCGUGUAGGCGGUUGUUCAAGUCAGGUGUGAAAGCCUUGAGCUCAACUCAAGAAAUGCACUUGAUACUGGAUGACUAGAGGACCGGAGAGGAUAGUGGAAUUCCCAGUGUAGUGGUGAAAUACGUAGAGAUUGGGAAGAACCCAGUGGCGAAGGCGGCUAUCUGGACGGUUUCUGACGCUAAGACGCGAAAGCGUGGGGAGCAAACAGG